rnacentral:rRNA from 1 species
AGAGUUUGAUCAUGGCUCAGAACGAACGCUGGCGGCGUGGCUAAGACAUGCAAGUCGAACGGACUGCUCAAUUUAUUGGACAGUUAGUGGCGAAAGGGUUAGUAACGGGUAGGUAACGUACCCUGUGCUUUGGGAUAGCGUCUGUUGCUUUUAGCAACUUCCGAAAGGGGCGGUAAUACCAAAUAAUAUCAUUUGUCUAUAGGCGGAUGAUCAAAGAUUUGUCGGCGCAGGAGCGGCCUGCCUCCUAUCAGCUUGUUGGUGAGGUAAUGGCUCACCAAGGCAGCGACGGGUAGCGGGACUGAGAGGUUGGCCCGCAACAUCGGGACUGAGACACUGCCCGGACCUCCACGGAGGGCUGCAGUAACGAAUAUUGCGCAAUGGGCGAAAGCCUGACGCAGCGACGCCGCGUGUAGGAGGAAGUCCCUCGGGAUGUAAACUACUGUCAGGGGGAAGAAAGUCCCGACACGUCGGGAUUGAUCUAACCCAAAGGAAGUCACGGCUAACUUCGUGCCAGCAGCCGCGGUAAGACGAAGGUGGCAAGCGUUGUUCGGUAUCACUGGGCUUAAAGCGUGUGUAGGCGGAAAAGUAAGCGUUUCGUGAAAGCCCCCGGCUUAACCGGGGAAUUGCGCAACGAACUGCAUUUCUUGAGGCAAGUAGGGGUGCAUGGAACUCUUGGUGGAGCGGUGGAAUGCGUAGAUAUCAAGAGGAACGCCAGUGGAGAAAUCGGUGCACUGGGCUUGUCCUGACGCUGAGACACGAAAGCGUGGGUAGCGAAUGGGAUUAGAUACCCCGGUAGUCCACGCCGUAAACGAUGCCUACUAGUUGUGAAAGUUCUGACACUGGCACAGCCGAAGCAAAAGUGCUAAGUAGCCGCCUGGGGGAGUACGGUCGCAAGGCUAAAACUCAAAUGAAUUGACGG